rnacentral:rRNA from 1 species
UUCCUACGGGGGGCAGCAGUGGGGAAUAUUGGGCAAUGGGCGCAAGCCUGACCCAGCAACGCCGCGUGAAGGAAGAAGGCUUUCGGGUUGUAAACUUCUUUUGACAGGGAAGAGUAGAAGACGGUACCUGUCGAAUAAGCCACGGCUAACUACGUGCCAGCAGCCGCGGUAAUACGUAGGUGGCAAGCGUUGUCCGGAUUUACUGGGUGUAAAGGGCGUGUGGGCGGGGACGCAAGUAAGAUGUGAAAACCAUGGGCUCAACCUGUGGCCUGCAUUUG